CUCCGGUUUGCAGAAGCCAAUUAGAAAUCCUAACUGUACCUGGAUACAGUACCUCCAGAAUUCUGUAACUCUCCUCGAAAGCCAAUUCUUCUUCUGCAUCUUCAUCCAUGGAUUUUUGCUGCAAUUCGCAUCAUUGCUCGCAUGGAGGCCGCCUCCUCAUAUUUGAAUUUGCCAAAAAUGUUAUGAAUUGAUACAGAUUUUCUCGCCCACUAGUGUGGCUUCCGGGAGAAGCAAGUUUUGCCGACUCACGAAUCCUCACCAGUUUGGACAGAAACCAUGCUGUGAAUGUACUGGAUCGAUCGGCUUGGUAGCAGAGAUCCCUGAUUUGAGAACAUCGUAUCCGUCAAUACAAUGAAUCCAAAGUAAUCGAAAUCAAGUUGUCCUGAUGAACUUCCUGUUGCUACGAAACCCUAAUUAGCCAUGACAAUUGCGAUCAACGUGGCAAAGUUUUACCCUCGUUGUACGGUACGCCCGCGAAGCAUCUUAUAUCUGUUAAUUAAUUCUAGAUGUGAUAGAUAGUGAUCAUGCUCAACUGACGGUGCACAGGUGUAAUCUAAGGAUUAGCUUGUGGUUAUUCCUAAUUUUUCAGUUGCUUGUUGACUAGAUUGCCCAGAAUGUCGCCGGCGGCGAAGCCUUAGGUCUCGGGCAGUUCAUUUAUUGUUCGUAAUAAUUAAUUAAAAUAAUGAGCCAGCACUGUUUCAAGUUACAACAAUGACCUUUUGUUGAACGAGUAAUCAUAGAAUUGACGUGUAUAUAAUUGAAGUUUAUGCAUGGAAGCUAGUAGUAAAUUAUAU